ensembl:lncRNA SCAT1 S-phase cancer associated transcript 1
AGUAAAGGAAAACCGCCCCUAGAGAGCAUGCGCACAACCUCAGUCAACUCACUACACAUGCAAUUACCCUCCUGAGUGCUGACCAACACUGCUGCAUGGGGCUGUUGAGCAACAGCCCGCCCCAAGGGAAGAACCGAGGGAGGAGAAGAGAAAACUCCAGAGCCGUGCCAACGGAUAAACCCCACGCCCAGGGCUGAGCGGUCACUUGGAUCUCUCACGUGGCGCACUCAGCCCUCUUCCAAAUUCUUUCCACUGAGGAGGCAAGGAUGGAGUUGCUGCUGACCCGUGCAGAUUUGCUGCUGGUAACAUACUCAUGGGCAAAGUCUGAAAAACCUCUUCCUGCCCUGGGCAAGGCAGAUGGGGCAGCCCAGCAGGCUGGCUUUGCCCACCGUCUCCGAUAUCAUCCAACACAGUCAGCCAGGCCACAUUCGCUGCAUCCUUUCCAGCAAGAUGUCAUUCUGAGAUUUUUGUCAUUCCUGGGCGUUAUGAGGACUGCCAAGGGACACAAUUCCAUGGGAGGAAAGUUUUCUUCUAAGCUGCAAGCCAGCUCUGGCUUCUGGAGUUUCUCCUUAGGAUUGCAAGACAGUAGUUCCCUGUCCUUUAGGUCUUCUCCAGAAAUACCUUAAAAUAGCAAAUAAAAUAAGAUAUAAGCAAACAAAACCUGAAGUUAA